CAGGCGGCGUGGAUAAGACAUGCAAGUCGAGCGCUGAUGUGAGGGUAGCAAUAUUUUCAAGUCGGAGCGGCGCAAGGUUGCGUAACACGUGGGAAUCUGCCUUGAAGUGUGGGAUAACUCCGAGAAAUCGGAGCUAAUACCGCAUGUGAUCGUAAGAUCAAAGUUGGGGAUCGCAAGACCUGACGCUUCAAGAUGAGCCCGCGGCCUAUAAGCUAGUUGGCGAGGUAAAAGCUCACCAAGGCUAAGACGGGUAGCUGGUCUGAGAGGACGACCAGCCACACUGGAAUUGAGACACGGUCCAGACACCUACGGGUGGCAGCAGUCGAGAAUUUUUCUCAAUGGGCGAAAGCCUGAAGGAGCGACGCCGCGUGGGGGAUGAAUGGCUUCGGCCCGUAAACCCCUGUCAUUUGCGAACAAAUUGACUCACCUAACACGUGUGUCAUUGAUUGUAGCGGAAGAGGAAGGGACGGCUAACUCUGUGCCAGCAGCCGCGGUAAUACAGAGGUCCCAAGCGUUGUUCGGAUUCACUGGGCGUAAAGGGUGCGUAGGCGGUUGGGUAAGUCUGACGUGAAAUCUCCGGGCCUAACCCGGAAACUGCGUUGGAUACUAUCCGGCUAGAGGAAUGGAGGGGAGACUGGAAUACUUGGUGUAGCAGUGAAAUGCGUAGAUAUCAAGUGGAACACCAGUGGCGAAGGCGAGUCCCUGGACAUUCCCUGACGCUGAGGCACGAAAGCCAGGGGAGCAAACGGGAUUAGAUACCCUGGUAGUCC
rnacentral:rRNA from 1 species